rnacentral:rRNA from 1 species
GGAUGCGAUCAUACCAGCACUAAAGCACCGGAUCCCAUCAGAACUCCGAAGUUAAGCGUGCUUGGGCGAGAAUAGUAUUAGGAUGGGUGACCUCCUGGGAAGUCCUCGUGUUGCAUUCC